CGAAGGAUAGAAAACUUGGAAAUGUAUAUUCUAACAAGGGUAUGUUGUCUAUUUUAAUAAAAAGUUCUCAUAAAGUAAUGGAGCUUUUGGCUUUAAUGGUCCUAUCUUCUAUUUCUAAACAUCUGUGUGAUUUAGUGUCUUGAAAUGGUCAUAUCUUUUAACUUAUAAGUUUGAUAUGCAUUCUUUUUUUCCAAGGAAAGAUCCUAUUAAUAGGUUGUGGUGGUAUUAGCAGGUAAAGUCAGGAUACUGAAUGAUCAUUACCUUCAUCUUAUUAUAUAGAUGAUGUCACUAUUAUCAUAAUCGUCAUCACCAUUGCUGCUAUUGUUAUUAUUUUCAUCUCCACCAUUAAUUUGAUUUAUGCAUUCAAUAUAGUGGUGAGGAUGCAUGCAAUAAAAUAAGGGCUGGAGUAACUCUUGUUCAGCUUUAUACUGCAUUUGCAUAUGGAGGCCCUGCCUUAAUUCCUCAAAUGAAGGCUGAACUUGCUGAGUGCCUAGAGAGGGAUGGUUUCAAGUCUGUCCAUGAAGCUGUUGGUGCUGAUUGCAUAUGGUAUUAGUACUUACCUUGCACCAAGAACUUCCUCACAAAAUAGCUGUAUUGUAAUCUUUUGUCCUGUGCUUAUCCUACAUUAUCACUUUUGCUUGGCUCUAAUUUUUUUUAGAGGAAAUUGUGGGAAAUGACCUUCAUAGUAAGGUCACUUCAAAAAUGAUUGUCUCUAUAAUUUUAACUAUUUCUAGCCAUUUUUUGGCAUGACU